UAGAGAGCUUCCAGAUAGCCGAACAUAUGGGUGCUCCUGGAAGGUAGAGUGCCCAGGAAGGACAUGGAGACUCUCUACUCCUUCCCCCAUACCUUGCCCUACACAUCUCUUCAUUAGAUGCUCAAAAGGUAAAAGUUGUAUGUUUGCGGAGACUGCUCCUGCUUCUGGAAUCUGACAAGACUGAAAGGAAGCCUGCAAACUUGAGUGGUCUCUCCCUGGGAGACAUAUUCAUACAACAUGAUAAUGAACUGGACUAAUUACUAAUGACUGAA
rnacentral:lncRNA from 1 species